UGGCUCUGUGGGUGAUCCUGGUGAUUUUGGCUGGUUUCAUUGGCCUCACUGUUUAUCUAUUUAAAAUAAAAGGGAAACUUACUGCAGAACUUGAUUUGACUUGCUGUGUCUGAGUAGAACUCAUUGGACUCAGUGGAACUGUUCAGAUCUGUAAAGUUAAGCACAUGCAUCAAUCUUUUCAAGAUCGCUGCACAUAUAUGUUCUAUUCUGCUCCGCCUAAAGUAAAUGGGAGAUUUUUGACUGACCUCAGUGGG